UUCAAAGACCACAGACAGGUCCGAUAAAAAAUCUAAAGUACCUGUAAAACCAAAAAUUAAUAAAAUACAAAAUAAAGUCUCAAAUAACGGCUCAGUAUAACUCCCAUUUCCGGUUACGUGUAACCUACGUCCGCGAAUCGGUGAAGACGUCCAUGAUCACGUAUCCAGAACAUGCGGGAGUGCUUAUGUGACUGACUUUGUUUACAACUUAAGAAGUUCAAUGCAUUCUAAUUUAUUUCCGGAGCCUUAUCCCGAACGAUUAUCGCCAGAAAACAGACUAUUUCCAACACCAUGGUCAGCUUCCAGAGGGGCACCGCUAGUAGAAGGUGAUGUAUAUUGCAUUGUCCACUGAUGUUCACAACCUGAUAGAAAAACUGAAUAAUAACUAUCAGAAAGUUUGUCUCUCUCAGCCUUUCCCCUCCACAGUUCCACCAGUGGAGACAAGGAGACGCAUGUUGGAGAAGCCACUAAAACCAAGGACUCUCUGGGAGGCCGCGCGUGUUCCAGCCCCAGACUGUACUGGCAGUGACGAAGAACCAGCAUCCUCACAGACGGACAACCUCAGUGGAUUCAUGCCAGCAGGGUUAAGACCAGCCCAAUCGGACCAUCUCAGGCGUCGGAUCAAGCAGACGACAUCUCCGGCGAGCCAGCGCCCGGAACUAGAGCAAAUAAACACACACGGGUAGAUGACAUCUCCGGCGAGCCAGCGCCCGGAUCCAGUGCACACACGCAAUCACUGAUUAACACACAACAUCUGAAAGAACAACGACAAGGUACUCAAACAUCCAGCAGGAACAGAAAGCCAAAAGUACCACAUGAUGUCUAACCUGAUAAAGCCAGACUCAUUUCAUCCUGAUAAUGGAGAAAAUGAAAUGCCCAUUGUCAUCAUACGACGCUUAUUCAAUGUCUCUCGAACCUGGGACCAGGCCAGGAGACAACUGAAGAACUGUUUUUCUUAUAUACUUUCUUAUAUAUUUAGGUUAUUUAUUAUAUCUAUCGCAUUAACCUUAGGAUUUCUCUUUGCUAUUUUGUAUUGUAAACUGCAACCAUGUUCACAUUUCUGCA
ensembl:lncRNA